UNNNNAUCUUCGGCAAUGGGGGCAACCCUGACCGAGCAGCGCCGCGUGAGUGAAGAAGGUUUUCGGAUCGUAAAGCUCUGUUGUAAGUCAAGAACGAGUGUGAGAGUGGAAAGUUCACACUGUGACGGUAGCUUACCAGAAAGGGACGGCUAACUACGUGCCAGCAGCCGCGGUAAUACGUAGGUCCCGAGCGUUGUCCGGAUUUAUUGGGCGUAAAGCGAGCGCAGGCGGUUUGAUAGGUCUGAAGUUAAAGGCUGUGGCUCAACCAUAGUUCGCUUUGGAAACUGUCAAACUUGAGUGCAGAAGGGGAGAGUGGAAUUCCAUGUGUAGCGGUGAAAUGCGUAGAUAUAUGGAGGAACACCGGUGGCGAAAGCGGCUCUCUGGUCUGUAACUGACGCUGAGGCUCGAAAGCGUGGGGAGCGAACAGGAUUAGAUACCCUGGUAGUCCACGCCGUAAACGAUGAGUGCUAGGUGUUGGAUCCUUUCCGGGAUUCAGUGCCGUAGCUAACGCAUUAAGCACUCCGCCUGGGGAGUACGACCGCAAGGUUG
rnacentral:rRNA from 1 species